UACGUAGGGUGCGAGCGUUAAUCGGAAUUACUGGGCGUAAAGCGUGCGUAGGCGGUUCUCCAAGUCCGUUGUGAAAGCCCCGGGCUUAACCUGGGAAUGGCAUUGGAAACUGGCGGGCUUGAGUGCGGCAGAGGGGGUGGAAUUCCGCGUGUAGCAGUGAAAUGCGUAGAGAUGCGGAGGAACACCGAUGGCGAAGGCAGCCCCUGGGUCGACAUUGACGCUCAGGCACGAAAGCGUGGGGAGCAAACAGG
rnacentral:rRNA from 1 species